rnacentral:lncRNA from 1 species
ACUCAUGCACAAAUUUUCCACAAAAAAUCAUGAUUAAAUUUGAUAUUUCCCCCUUUUCCCCCCAAGUACGCAAUGCAAUACCUGACCAUACCUUUAAAUCCACUUCCUAAAAUUUUCGUCCCUAUUUUCGAAAAUUUCAAAUCCAUCUUACCCCAACCCAUACUUGCACGCUUCCAAUGUCUUGUUUUUAACCAUUACUUGCAUGCACCCUUUUUCCUUUAUUUGCAUGCGAUACUUAACCACUUCCAACCCAUUACAGUCGUUUGUUUUUGGUCAAAAAGCGGAUCCCCUGCAGGUUACCGGGCCAUUACCUUUUUGUCAGGUUACUAGCUACCGUGUUGUGUCUCUUCUUCAGCCAUUAAAUUAAAUCCAACGGUCACUCUGCUACAAGACAAACGACUUGGGUACCAAACCCCUGAUGCAAAGUAGCUGCCCCCAUAUAUAAGAAUGGAUCAGCAGUUCCCUACAAAUAUUCUCAAUUUUACAUUAAUUAAUAUCCAUUAAAUUUUAAUUGAAUUAAUGGAUGAGAUUUAUUAAAAUUAAAUAUUCAAGAUUUUUUAAUAUCUUUUCUCUCCACAUAGACCCUACCUCAAAUCUUUCUCCCUCUUUUAUUUUUUCUCUUCAUUCUCGUGAUGUGCUUUCUCUCUCUCCCCUCCUCUCUUCUCUUCCCUUGGAGAGAGUUAAGAAUUUUAUGGCUGAGGAAAAAAAAAGCAAAAGUUUAAUAAAAAAACUUUCUUCAUUUAGGUCUUAUUUGAAAUGGAGGUGUUGUACCUUUUAAACUAUAGUUGCUGUA